UAAUACAGAGGGUGCGAGCGUUGUUCGGAAUUACUGGGCGUAAAGCGCGCGCAGGCGGCCCUUUAAGUCUACCCGUGAAAUGCCGGAGCUCAACUCCGUGCACGCCGGGGGAUACUGGAGGACUGGAGACGAGUAGAGGCAAGCGGAAUUCCGGGUGUAGCGGUGGAAUGCGUAGAGAUCCGGAAGAACACCGGAGGCGAAGGCGGCUUGCUGGGCUUGGUCUGACGCUGAGGCGCGAAAGCGUGGGGAGCGAACAGGAUUAGAUACCCUGGUAGUCCACGCCGUAA
rnacentral:rRNA from 1 species